AAAACCAAAAAGGGGUUGGGAAGCACUGGUCUAAAACAAAGCCACUGUUAUAGUCUGUUAGAGACAGAUAUUGAUCAUUGGGGUUGAAUUUCCUCCUUAAGCUUGAGGUAAUUUGUGUGUGUGCAUGUGUGUGUGCAUGUGCGAUACAGACACAUAGAGUUGUGUGUCUGAGCAGCAGCCUCUGACUCAGUGUUGAAUGGGUCCUGGAGUCACAUGGCUACUUGUCAGCAGGCUGGAGGAGGAAACAUAAUCCUGAGGAGGAAGGCUGCUGUUAUCAGUCGUUGCAUGUUGGUCUGAGAGAGCAGUUGGCUCGACGAGAGGCAGCACAGCAGAUGAUCGCCCGACUCGCACGCUCCACAUCUCUAACUCUUGUUCUCUUUUGUCCCCUUCUCUCUCUCUCCUUUCUCCCUCUGUUUGUUUUUGUCCUGCACUCUGACCAGCCCCGGGUCGCUCUUCACAGCAGAGUUCAGAAUUGCACUACAAUGUCUGCGGUGGCUUCUCUGCAAUAAGCACACAAAGGUUAUGCUGCCCAAAAGCUGUCUGAGUCCCAGCGAGAAAGAGAAGGGCUAAAGCCGCCACUGAUCCAAACCAGCUUUCCAGAUCCUCUCCAGCAGCAACUCCACUGCGGAGCCAUGAGCAACCCCAGCGCUCCCAACCAGAUCACAGAUGCCGUGGCAGCGGUUAUUCACAGUCCAGAGGCCCCUGCUGCCUCAUCACUACAUGGGACCCCCACGCUC